rnacentral:rRNA from 1 species
GACGAACGCUGGCGGCGUGCUUAACACAUGCAAGUCGAGCGAGGCUCCUUCCGUCGGGAGGGAUGCCCUAGCGGCGAACGGGUGAGUAACACGUGGGCAACCUGCCUCUAGCACUGGGAUAACUCCGGGAAACCGGGGCGUAAUACCGGAUACGACCUCUGAGGGCAUCCUCCGGAGGUGGAAAGCAUUGUGGCUAGAGAUGGGCCCGCGGCC